UAAUACGAAGGUGGCGAGCGUUGUUCGGAUUCACUGGGCAUAAAGGGCGCGUAGGCGGUGCCGCAAGCGGCGUGUGAAAUUCCGGGGCUCAACCCCGGAACGGCGCGCUGGACUGCGGUGCUCGAGUGCGGGAGGGGGGUGCGGAACUCUAGGUGGAGCGGUGAAAUGCGUAGAUAUCUAGAGGAACACCGGUGGCGAAAGCGACACCCUGGCCCGCAACUGACGCUGAGGCGCGAAAGCGUGGGUAGCAAACAGGAUUAGAUACCCUGGUAGUCCACGCCGUAAACGAUGAGCACUAGGUAGCCGUCGGAUCCGACCGGGGGCUGCUGAAGGUAAUCCAUUAAGUGCUCCGCCUGGGGAGUAUGGUCGCAAGGCUG
rnacentral:rRNA from 1 species